rnacentral:rRNA from 1 species
UACGAAGGGGACUAGCGUUGUUCGGAUUUACUGGGCGUAAAGCGUGCGCAGGCGGUUGUGCAAGACAGAUGUGAAAUCCCCGGGCUCAACCUGGGAACUGCAUUUGUGACUGCACGGCUAGAGUGUGUCAGAGGGGGUAGAAUUCCACGUGUAGCAGUGAAAUGCGUAGAGAUGUGGAGGAAUACCGAGUGGCGAAGGCAGCCCCCUGGGACUAGCACUGACGCUCAUGCACGAAAGCGUGGGGAGCAAACAGG